AUUCCGGUUGAUCCUGCCGGAGGCCAUUGCUAUCGGAGUCCGAUUUAGCCAUGCUAGUCGUGCGAGUUCAGACUCGCGGCACCGAGCUCAGUAACACGUGGCCAAACUACCCUACAGAGACGGAUACCCUCGGGAAACUGAGGUUAACCCGUCAUACCGAUCUCAGGCUUGAAUCGCAGAGAUCACAAAACGCCCCGGCGCUGUAGGAUGUGGCUGCGGUUGAUUAGGUAGACGGUGGGGUAACGGCCCACCGUGCCCAUAAUCAGUACAGGUUGUGAGAGCAAGAACCUGGAGACGGAAUCUGAGACAAGAUUCCGGGCCCUACGGGGCGCAGCAGGCGCGAAACCUUUACACUGCACGCACGUGCGAUAAGGGGACUCCGAGUGCGAGGGCAUAUCGUCCUCGCUUUCGUGUACCGUAGGGUGGUACACCAACAAGGGCUGGGCAAGACCGGUGCCAGCCGCCGCGGUAAUACCGGCAGCCCGAGUGAUGGCCGAUCUUAUUGGGCCUAA
rnacentral:rRNA from 1 species